AUGUAAUAUAAGAGAAAUAGAAAGUAGAAAAUAAUAAGGUUAUAGGAAGUAAAUAAAACUCCACUUUAUUAGAAUUUAGGGAGAAAUAGUAGAGGAGGAGAGAAGAGAAGAGGAGGAGAGAACCCUAAAAAUUUUUUUAAAAAAAGUUACUUUGACAGAGGCUUGCCUCGCUUAGUGCCUUUGCCUAGUGCCUCAGCGCCUUGGUGAGAAAGGCGCUUGCCUCGUGGAACUGAGGCACACCUUGCCUCUCGCCUCACCCGGCGCCUUUAAUAUUCUGAUAUACAUGGCAUGAAUGAAUCUACAUGCGUUGGUCGUGUGAAUGGAUGAUACGAUUUAACUGGUAAGUCUUGAAGGUUUCUAAACUUGAUGAUUUCAUGGCUUUUGAAUUCACAAAUUGCAAGGCCUGUUGACUUCAUAAAUUAUGAAAUUUUACAGACUCCUAGAUGGCUUUGCUUCAUCCUUAGAACAAAAUAUGAAUCAAAUUUGGGAAGUUAUCAUAAGUUUAUUGAUAUAUAUUUGCAAGCUUCCAAGGUUUGUUUUAUUAACUCAAUACUUCUUGUGCAACCAUGAUAAUUGGUAUGUCACGUCACAGGCUGCCAGCAUCAUCAGCUCUAGCAUACAACCUCUUCAUAUGUUGUCAAUGCUGGUUUACUUCUUCUACUUUAUCCCUUGUUUUUGGCAUGAGUUAUUGGCGUUUUUCCUAUUUUCACAAAUGGAUGGAUUGACCAUGAUACUUCUUCAUUUUUGUAGAAAUACUUUGAAGAAAAAAUGGGUCCUGACGAGGCAUUAUUAUGGGGUCAAUCUUGUGUAGAAAAAGGUUUCCUUGCUCUUGAGAGGUUGCUGAAAGAUUUUGCAGGCAGAUAUGCCACAGGAGAAGCAGUAUUUAUGGUCGCUUUUUAAUAUUCUGUUUAACUUUCAUUGCACAGUCUAAAUUCAAUAAUAUCUUGAUGCUCAAGCUUGCUUUUGAGGCUUUGCUUUAUUGAUGCACACUCUUUGCAAGAGCUCGAUUUAUAGUUUCGUAAUAGAUACUGCAAGUGAAAAUGUGUUUGUAUCCUACUGAAAGGCAUUUUGGAUCCUCCCUCAUUUUUUCUAGUUUUUUCCACAACAAAUCAUUCUUUAGUACUUUUGAAGAAAAAUAAAAAAACAUGAAUUCUAAUCCAUAAUCACCCUAGGAUCCGUAAACUUGUAUCACCAGUCUUGAAAUAACCACAUACUUUUGGCAUGAAUUAUGUCAAUAAUUCACUGUUUAAAUGUACCUUGUAAAUGCAGAAUUAAAUUGCUUCUUGAGUGUGUUGAGAGUUAUUAACCAAGAACCAAAUCCAAAUGUGUAUCCAAUACACAAAAACCCUUUGCAAGCCUUUUUGUUCUUUUCUUUAGUGAAGAAAAACACUGCAGUCACUUGCACUCUUAUGUUUCUGUGUUUGAUGUGUCUCCCGAUGAAGACAAAAACUUGGCUAAUAUUUGGUAUAAAAAUGAAUUGGUCAUAUGGCCUUUUAUACCUUUAUGUUCACUAUCUUCCUUUUUUUUCCCCUAUUUUUUCAUUUGAAAAAUAAAAAGGGCAUGAAUCCUGAUUGAUCCACAUGGGUGAUCUGGACCUAAAUUCUUUCACUUUUUGUUGAUUUUUCCAUUCAAAUUUUAUACCAAGCAAGUUUUUAUUUAAAUGCAAAGAGUUCUUUCUGGUUCGCAUGCUGCACUUAAAUAUUAGGAGGAAUAAAUGAUGAACACCUUGUAGAGUGAGCUAAUUACUGGAGUGUUUUCUUUGACAGGCUGAUGUGUUUCUGGCCCCACAAAUAGCUGUGGCUUUAAUGAGGUUCAAAAUUGAUAUGGUAAAACUUUUUCCUCAAUUAUUUCCCUUUUGUACCUUUCGAAUUCCUUUCCAUAUCAAAGUAAUACUAGUUCUAUUUCACUGUUUGUGCUUCAGAGCUGCUGCUGCUGCUUGUGUUUCCUUUUGAUGAUUUUGCAGUGCUUAUUUCAUCUUUGUAUUUGUUGCAGUUCUCAUGUUUGUUCUAUUAUUUGUUCAUUCAGGUUUCUUUGUUACUAUGUGGUGCAUAGAUUGGAAGCACAUUACAUAAUUUAGCAUGAAUGACUCAUUAAAAUCACGAGUCUACAUCCCUAAAAAUAAAAUAAAAUAAGGGUGGAAAAAAUCUUUUAUGUAUGAGAGAGCUGUUAUUACCAGGCUGCAUAUGAUUUUGCAAAAUAGUUACUGAGGGAAGCAAGAAGGCUGUUGGGUUUGUGGCUAAAAUGGUGCGUAAUCUUGAAAUAUUUUGCAUUAAGUUCUGGUCGAUUAAUGCUUAUGGGGAUAAUUCAGAAUAAUAUCAAUAUGACUGAGGUGCAUAUGAUCUGUGAAGGAUUUUAGUACACAAUUGGCUUAAUAGGGUGUGUGAAUCAGUGGAAAGAACUUAGUCCAUGAGGGCUGGAGUCUUGUCAUCUAUUGGUUAUAAUCUUGAAAAUAUGACUCUUAGGCUAAGUAACGAUGUUAUUACCAUAUGUGGUGUUAUGGAUGUCAAAAGUUGUUCUUUUUGUUGCAGUCCAAGUUCCCAACUUUAGGUAGGAUAUAUGAAUCAUGCAAGGGCUUACCUGAGUUCGUAGGUUCACUCCCACAAUCACAACCUGAUGCAGAGCAGUAAGUUUGGUUUUCACCUUAUUUACUGUUCCAUUAACGCUGCACAAUUGCAAAUGACAGCAAACAUUGUAAUACUAUUCAGCAUCCAAGAAUUGGGUUUGAAUAAUGAUAAAAUUUGCUUGGAUUUACAUUUCUCAUUCGAUGUAAUGGCUGAAAAAUUCUAUGGUAAGGAUAUGUGCAUUAAUCAUUUCUCUCGGUUUAGAAAUU
rnacentral:misc_RNA from 1 species